rnacentral:rRNA from 1 species
UACGGGGGGGGGCAAGCGUUGUUCGGAAUUACUGGGCGUAAAGGGCUCGUAGGCGGCCCACUAAGUCAGACGUGAAAUCCCUCGGCUUAACCGGGGAACUGCGUCUGAUACUGGAGGGCUUGAGUUUGGGAGAGGGAUGCGGAAUUCCAGGUGUAGCGGUGAAAUGCGUAGAUAUCUGGAGGAACACCGGUGGCGAAGGCGGCAUCCUGGACCAACACUGACGCUGAGGAGCGAAAGCCAGGGGAGCAAACGGG